rnacentral:rRNA from 1 species
CUAGCGACUUCAGAGUUUGAUCCUGGCUCAGGAUGAACGCUGGCGGCGUGCCUAACACAUUCAAGUCGAACGGUGACGAGGGCUUCGGUCCUCUGAUCAGUGGCGGACGGGUGAGUAACGCGUGAGCAACCUGCCUAUCAAAGCGGGAUAACGUAUGGAAACGUGCGCUAAUACCGCAUAACGCAUUUCGAUCGCAUGUUUGAAAUGCCAAAGGGAAACCGAUGAUAGAUGGGCUCGCGUAUGAUUAGAUAGUUGGUGAGGUAACGGCUCACCAAAUCGACGAUCAUUAGCCGAACUGAGAGGUUGAACGGCCACAUUGGAACUGAGAAACGGUCCAG